GGUGGAAAGGAGUAAAUUUUAACUGCACAAUUUGAUGGAAACUUUGAAUGUAUGGUCACAGUAUAAGGUUUAUUCAUUUGCUAGUAGAUCCCUCCUUAUUGGUGUAUUAGGGGCCCCAAGGAGGGAGUAACCUACUGGCAUGCACGUGGACAGACAAGUGUCACAAAUUAGACAAGUGCCGAAUUUAUAUGUUAAAUGUGAAUUUCAUAUUAUAUUGCCUGCAUUGAAAGAAGAAAUAAAUAAUAUACUAAGUUCCAUAGGUUAUGAUGUCACACAAUAAAC
rnacentral:lncRNA from 1 species